GCUGUCCGGUGCGCCUCGCGAUACACCGUGUCUGUUUCAUUAUCGGUCGCAAUUAUAAUUGACAUGUUUUUAAUUGGGUCUUGACAUAUAGAACAGAAAAAAAAAAAACAAGCGACUCCAACCGCAAUAACUGUAGCAUAUUAUGCUAGCCGAUGUAUAAGCAGUAUACACCGUAACUAGAUUUAUUAUCGACAAACGUUUAAAUUAGACUCAAGGCCAUAACGCACCGUGUGUCGAUUCGCACACACAAUUUUGUUAUCCGUGUUUAUUUGUUUGAGGUCGUACGGCCAAAGCCACCGGUUCGCGUACGGUUCGGCGACGCGUUUUCCGGGACAGGGCGAUGGGUCUGUAGUAAACGGUUCCGGCCGGGUUAGGAAAAUCUUGCAUACAAUCGAAACCGCACACUGUACAGUUUGUAUCGCACCGCGGGUCGGAUCGUUUCUGCGGUUCAGU